rnacentral:rRNA from 1 species
GGUGAAAUGCUUAGAUAUCACACAGAACACCGAUUGCGAAGGCAGCACACUAAGUCAUUAUUGACGCUGAGGCACGAAAGUGUGGGGAUCAAACAGGAUUAGAUACCCUGGUAGUCCACACUGUAAACGAUGAUAACUCGCUGUCGGCGAUACACAGUCGGUGGCCAAGCGAAAGCAUUAAGUUAUCCACCUGGGGAGUACGACCGCAAGGUUGAAACUCAAAGGAAUUGACGGGGGCCCGCACAAGCGGAGGAACAUGUGGUUUAAUUCGAUGAUACGCGAGGAACCUUACCCGGGCUCGAACGGUGCAUGAAUAUACGAGAGAUUGUAUAGUCCUUCGGGACAUGUAUCGAGGUGCUGCAUGGUUGUCGUCAGCUCGUGCCGUGAGGUGUCGGCUUAAGUGCCAUAACGAGCGCAACCCUUGUCAUUAGUUGCCAUCAGGUCAAGCUGGGGACUUUAAUGAGACUGCCACCGUAAGGUGUGAGGAAGGGGGGGAUGACGUCAAAUCAGCACGGCCCUUAUGUCCGGGGCGACACACGUGUUACAAUGGGAGGUACAGAGGGCAGCUAUCCGGUGACGGAAUGCUAAUCUCCAAAACCUUUCUCAGUUCGGAUUGGAGUCUGCAACUCGACUCCAUGAAGGUGGAUUCGCUAGUAAUCGCGCAUCAGCCAUGGCGCGGUGAAUACGUUCCCGGGCCUUGUACACACCGCCCGUCAAGCCAUGGAAGCUUGGGGUGCCUGAAGUUCGUGACCGCAAGGAGCGACCUAAGGCAAAACAGGUAACUGGGGCUAAGUCGUAANCAAGGUAACCCNAAAGGGCGAAUUCNUAACUCG